AAACAGUGUAAUGUUAUUGUAAACAAAUUUGUGUCACGUAGUACUGCAAAACUGAAAAUUCGCCACAAUACUGCUACGCUUAUGAAGCAGCAACUCAGGCUACAGUACGUAAAAUUGAAUAUUAUUACUAUCGCUCUAUUUUUAAAAGAUCCAUAAUCUACUGAAGUACAGAAAAGAAAUAAAAUGACGCACACUGUUGCUACGAACGCUAAACUCAAGUAUUAGUAUCAACGGCUGGAAAGUUGGCAACAUAAAAUGCGGACUGUGGUAGCGCCUCUUGUGGAACAUGUACGAACUAGUUUCAAACAGUGGCUACGAACUUUUCAAAAGGUUGGAUUUGACCAUCCCUUAAACUACACAGUCCGUUUUGGAGAUAUGAAGGACUUUUAUGGAGACAAGAGCUACCCAGAAAAUCAGCACAAGUUAACGAAGCGGGACAAAUGUAACCAAUGUCACGACAAGGAUUUGUAGAGGGUGCGCGAGUCAGUAGCUGCCUGGUGGCCAGCCUGUGACCAUCGCGUGCGGAGCCAGUCAGCUGGGACCGAGGAAGCACAGGACACCUGCAGGCUGCACAGUCGUCGCCUUGGCGAGUACCCUUCUACUGAUUUGAAUUUCAUUUUCUAAUACAAUGUCGGCUGAUAGCAUUGUGAACACAGUCCAGUGCGCGUUCGAUAGGAAGUUUAAAACGCCUUCUGCUCUCGAAAUUCACAAAUGGAUUUUUGAAGAAAUUAAGUUGGAGAAAAAAAAUGUGAAAGACGUCCGAUUUGAUUUCGCGCAGAACUCUCUAUUCAUAAAAAUGUCUAGUGCCAUACAGUGCGAGGAACUGGCCAGAGAGAGCAAUGGAAUUCUGAAAUUUCGCCAUAUAGACGGUGCGGUGAGCGAUGUUGUUGUAAUGCUCGUAGGUUUUGGUAUUAGGAAAAUAAAGGUAAUUAACUUGCCGUUCGAAAUACCGGAUGAAGAAAUUAGCAAAUGUUUAAACAUGUACGGCAGGGUUCUGACAGUUACAAGAGAUAAGUGGCCUAAAACAUUUAGAUUCCCCGUUGAAAAUGGUGUGCGUACCGUGAAAAUCAAUUUAAGAAAACACGUCCCGUCUUUCAAAAUAAUCUGUGGGUACCGAGCUUUUAUUAAAUACAGUGGGCAGCCGCCAACCUGUUCCAUUUGUGACGCCGUAGAUCAUAUGCGAAGCGUGUGCCCGCGCAGACGAUCUGCUCGCCUCGCUAGGGACAAAGCACUCGCCAGUGCCACGAUGUGUUCGGAAACAGAGUUGCCGGCCCUGCGAGUAAAAGCGUCGACGGGCGGUGAGCAGAAGAGAAGCAACGGUCCGGCGGGCCCCUGCACAGGAGACGCAGACAUGACAACACGGCAGGCGGCAGCUCUACCUACAGUGUCAAAAGCCGCCGCCGCCGCCGCAACAGGCUGCAAGGGAAAAAGGAACCGCUCAGAGGGCGUGCCGGUGCAUGCCGUUGCAAGGCAGAUACAGGCACUAGCGAUAACUCACCAUUCCAUGUGAUGCGGAGAAAAUGAACACAUCAGAACAGAACCACGAGCAGUGCACCAAUGAAAUUGUACAAAACUGAUGAAAAUAUUGAAACCGUCAAAAGAUGUGAGUAUGAACACUGGAGGAGGAGAAAAGGAAGUAAAAAAGAAACAGUGAAAAUUCACAGGUCUAUCUUUCUCAUACCGUAAUAGAGCAGAAAUGUACACUUAGAGUAAGGUAGAAAACUGUGCAAUGCGACUUUAAAAACUAAUCAUUACUCGCCAAGGAAAGAUACCCACAGUAGAAGGGGCCAUGCACUAUUUCAUUUCGCGGCGCGAAAUAAUCGAAGUGCGUCGUGUCGUGUGGUGUGCGCACUAGAUGUGUCACGAGAAGAGAAGCGAAGGCCAUGAUUGCCAACAACCACCGACAAGAAUACAUAAACUUACUGCAAACACAUCCUUAGCAACAUUCAAGACAGCAAUCCCUUCAGAUGGAGCCAUGCAACCACCGUCCCAAAACCGUGCAGUUGAAGCUGACAUCUACCACCCAACUCUGCUCCUCCAGCCACUAAUCAACACAGGUACAAGAAGAAUGUAUACAGUGUGUAUACUGCUAGCGAUGGGGAACUGUGAAGAGAGCCGCUGAAAGUGGAUUUUCAGUUUAUUUUUCUCCUUAUUUUCCAGUUACUGUUUUCACCAUGUAGCCAGUGAAGAGCUACUUUAGUUAGAUAUGCACAUCUACGUAUUGUUUCAUGCUUAUCCAUUUGUUAAAUUAGUGAUUUGCGCUCUCCUCCUAACCUCUAAAUAAGUCUGUAAAACAAUUUUUUGUGUAUGUAGUUUUUUAUUUAGUCUUACAUAUACAAGAAAGUUGAAUAUCCACAAACAAUGAAAAAUACGGUGGCAGUUUCUUAAUGUCAAGUAUUUUAUCUAUGUCACCAGAGAAACAAUCUUUAUAUGAAGAGGUGCUUGCUUGUGUUUCGUUUGAGUAUUCUCUUUAACAAGCUCACUAAUUCCCUUGUGCUAUGAACUUACUUCAUAUGCUCCACUUAGAAUUGUAGUCACUUUUCGUAUUUCAUAUUAUAUUAAUGUAAAAUUAUAGUAAAGUCGAAAAUAUGAAUUUGUAACAAUCCGAGAAAGUGUCAGUCAUACCAAUGAAUCACAUAUGGGUUUGUGAAGACCAAAUCAAUAAAAAAACUUUAAAUAUUCAAAUAAUAUACGUGAUAGUUUA